rnacentral:rRNA from 1 species
GACGAACGCUGGCGGCGUGCUUAACACAUGCAAGUCGAACGGUGAAGCGCCUUCCUUUUUGGUGGGUGUGGAUGAGUGGCGAACGGGUGAGUAACACGUGAGUAACCUGCCCCCUUCUUCUGGAUAACCGCAUGAAAGUGUGGCUAAUACGGGAUAUUCUGGGUCUGUCGCAUGAUGGGUCUGGGAAAGAUAUUGUUUCGGUGGGGGAUGGGCUCGCGGCCUGUCAGCUUGUUGGUGGGGUGAUGGCCUACCAAGGCGGUGACGGGUAGCCGGCCUGAGAGGGUGGACGGUCACACGGGGACUGAGACACGGCCCAGACUCCUACGGGAGGCAGCAGGGGGGAAUAUUGCACAAUGGGCGCAAGCCUGAUGCAGCGACGCCGCGUGAGGGAUGGAGGCCUUCGGGUUGUGAACCUCUUUCGCCGGUGAAGCAGGCCUGCCUCGUUUGUGGGUGGGUUGACGGUAGCUGGAUAAGAAGCGCCGGCUAACUACGUG